AGUAAUCAAGAAAGGUGGCCUCUUUACAAUGCUACCACUUACAGAUGAAUCCGCGUCCCAUUAGCCAGUUGGUGGGGUAAUGGCCUACCAAAGCGACGAUGGGUAGCCGGCCUGAGAGGGUGACCGGCCACACUGGAACUGAGAUACGGUCCAGACUCCUACGGGAGGCAGCAGUGGGGAAUCUUCCGCAAUGGGCGAAAGCCUGACGGAGCAACGCCGCGUGAGCGAAGAAGGUCUUCGGAUUGUAAAGCUCUUUUUUCGCUGACGAUAAUGACGGUAAGCGAGAAGGAAGCCACGGCUAACUACGUGCCAGCAGCCGCGGUAAUACGUAGGUGGCAAACGUUGUCCGGAAUUACUGGGCGUAAAGGGCGAGUAGGUGGUUUAUUAAGUCAGAAGUGAAAACUCCGGGCUCAACUUGGAGACUGCUUCUGAAACUGGUAAACUUGAGUGCAGGAGAGGGAAGUGGAAUUCCUAGUGUAGCGGUGAAAUGCGUAGAUAUUAGGAGGAACACCAGUGGCGAAGGCGACUUCCUGGCCUGUAACUGACACUGAGGCGCGAAAGCGUGGGGAUCAAACAGGAUUAGAUACCCUGGUAGUCCACGCCGUAAACGAUGAGUGCUAGGUGUAGGGGGUAUCGACUCCCUCUGUGCCGCAGCUAACGCAAUAAGUACUCCGCCUGGGGAGUACGGCCGCAAGGUUGAAACUCAAAGGAAUUGACGGGGGCCCGCACAAGCAGCGGAGCAUGUGGUUUAAUUCGAAGCAACGCGAAGAACCUUACCAGGACUUGACAUCCUCUGCAUUACUCGUAACUGAUGGAAGCCCUUCGGGGCAGAUAGACAGGUGGUGCAUGGUUGUCGUCAGCUCGUGUCGUGAGAUGUUGGGUUAAGUCCCGCAACGAGCGCAACCCUUAUUGCUAGUUGCCAUCAUUAAGUUGGGCACUCUAGUGAGACUGCCGGAGACAAUUCGGAGGAAGGUGGGGAUGACGUCAAAUCAUCAUGCCCCUUAUGUUCUGGGCUACACACGUGCUACAAUGGGUGUAACAACGGGAUGCAAAACCGUAAGGUGGAGCAAAUCCCUGAAAAGCACCCUCAGUUCGGAUUGUAGGCUGAAACCCGCCUACAUGAAGUUGGAAUCGCUAGUAAUCGCAGGUCAGCAUGCCGCGGUGAAUACGUUCCCGGGCCUUGUACACACCGCCCGUCACACCACGGGAGUCG
rnacentral:rRNA from 1 species